GUGGAAGCUCUAGUGUGGACUGUGAACAAAAGAAGCGGAGCUGAGGCGUUUCCUUACUUCCCCAUCUUGCUGCUGCCCCAUUGUUGAUCUCUCUCUCUCUUCGGAUUGGUAUGUUUCUGCUCAUUCUAACAGAAAUUGUUUCUGUGGUUUUUUUCUAAAUUUCAUUUACCAAUUUAUGCUUUUUCUGUGUUAUCAAUCAUGCAACAACACUAGUUGUAAUUAGGUCACAAAAUUUGGUAAAAAACAAAUGAAGGGUUCAAAUGGGAAGGAGGGUUUGGUGGUGUGUGUGAAAUCCAUGAGAGAUCUACGUUCUGUACUGUAAAAACUCCAAACCUGAGUUAAUCUUUCAAAUGGGUGUCCUAGUUAAACUUGUAACCAUUCUCUAGAAUUGAAGUUUGGAUUUCACGAUUAUCGUUUGGAUUUUGUACAAGCUCUAGGACUAGAUUUAGCUAUCUUAUAUGGAUUCUUAUUGAUCUUAAAGACUGAGAAAAAACUCGAUUAGCAAAUGCAUUAUUACUUAUCAACUGUACCUAAGAAUACCCAUCAUCAAAUUUACAGCAUUCUUGUUUGCAUUUAUGAGUUAUAUCACAUUGAGUCUUAGUAUAGUAUUUGGUUUAGUUUACUAAUUCAUCCGUUCUUUUACCCUUUUCUUGUUGAGAUUAGGCUUCAGAUUCAAAUCAGUUAUCAGAUUAAUGAGAGUUAUCAUGGUAUUUUGACUGAAAUUAGCCUUAAGAUAGGUGUAGGUUCUUACCUUGGAGGGCUUUAUGAAACCUCAGUUGGCUCCCUCGCCCUCAUGUUGAGAUAGAUCAUGCACUCUUUUCGGGUUCUGUUGCUCUGCAUUGUUGAAAUUCUCUGAUAGGUUUUUACUGCAGCAAUACCUCUGUACUCUGGAUCAGGUGUAGUAGUGAUUUUUAGGAACCAUUAACUGUUCUCCCUUUUCAGUACUUUGAUUAGUAGUUCCAAAUACAGCUGUGUUGCCUCUCUUCUUUUUAGCCGAGUUAGGGUUCUGCUCUCUUGGAUCAGUAGCAACUUCUUUCUUGAGCGAUAUUGGUUCCUGUCUCUCAAGUCUAGUCCAAGUUUUCUGGUGAGCUUUGGAUUGAUCUGCUAUUCUCUCAAAGCCAGGAGGAUGUUGAAGUUGUUGAUUGUUUAGAAUUUCGAAGCCUGGCGGGAUAUCAGGUGUAUUAGUUUCCUUCUUUAGUGGAUGUCCCCUAGCAACCUGCUUGAGAUGUCUCCUGAUGCUUCUCUGGCUGCUUUUGUAGGUACCUUGUUGUACAUUGCUAGUCAUGCCGAAGGAGAAGUUGAUCUGCUCAUUUGGUUGAGCUUCAUCCAAAUCCACUUGAUCUCCAGUGAAAGGAUUCGACAUGCUUUGAGGAUUGAAAGGAUUAAAACCUCCUGGAGGACUUCUUUUAGGACCAUGAAGCUGUUAUCCAAGGACCUCUUGUCUUCAGGUGAUUUCUAUCCUCCUCAGAAUUUACUUUGAUGACAUAGAAGUUAAAUCCCUUGUUAAAUUUGGUGAUGUUGAAGCCUCAAGAUAGAUCCCAGGUACCUCUGAUGCAGCUGAUUAAGUCCAUGAGAAGAGGUUUUUUGUUGCUAACCAGCCUUCCAACAAAGCACAUCUUCCAAUCUUUUUUCUCUUUAACAGUGAGAUGAGAUGGAUCUAUUAAUAAGGAUGAACAGGUUGCUAGUGAGUUUGGAGCUGAGGAUGAGAAUGGGGGUGUUUAAUAUAAGUCUUGGGGUUAAGCAAGGACUGAUCUGGCGGGAAAGAUAUACUCCAGGGAGUUUGAACCUUGAAUUUCCACACAGUAUUGCUAUCUGAGUUCUUGUUCGGACUACUGUUCCUUUGAGAAGCAGUUUGCAGUAAUAUUCAGUUUUGUAGAUGGCCUGGAGCUAGACCCAUGUGGGUCAAUUGAUUUUUCAUUUUCUAACCUGACAUUAAGACAUAAGGGAGCCAUUUGGCCACAUUUUCUUCUCUUAA